rnacentral:rRNA from 1 species
AAACCAGCACCUCAAGUGGUCAGCAGGAUUAUUGGGCCUAAAGCAUCCGUAGCCUGUUCUAUAAGUUUCCGGUUAAAUCCAUUAGCUCAACUAAUGGGCUGCCGAAAAUACUGUAGAACUAGGGAGUGGGAGAGGUAGACGGUAUUCGGUAGGAAGGGGUAAAAUCCUUUGAUCUAUUGAGGACCACCUGUGGCGAAGGCGGUCUACCAGAACAUGUUCGACGGUGAGGGAUGAAAGCUGGGGGAGCAAACCGGAUUAGAAACCCCGGUAGUCC